rnacentral:rRNA from 1 species
ACGCUGGCGGCAGGCCUAACACAUGCAAGUCGAGCGGAAACGAGUUAUCUGAACCUUCGGGGGACGAUAACGGCGUCGAGCGGCGGACGGGUGAGUAAUGCCUAGGAAAUUGCCCUGAUGUGGGGGAUAACCAUUGGAAACGAUGGCUAAUACCGCAUAAUGCCUACGGGCCAAAGAGGGGGACCUUCGGGCCUCUCGCGUCAGGAUAUGCCUAGGUGGGAUUAGCUAGUUGGUGAGGUAAUGGCUCACCAAGGCGACGAUCCCUAGCUGGUCUGAGAGGAUGAUCAGCCACACUGGAACUGAGACACGGUCCAGACUCCUACGGGAGGCAGCAGUGGGGAAUAUUGCACAAUGGGCGCAAGCCUGAUGCAGCCAUGCCGCGUGUGUGAAGAAGGCCUUCGGGUUGU